AACUGAUACUACCUGCGGGAACCUGCGGAAGGAUCAUUACCGAAGUUACUCUUCACCAAACCCUUAUGUGAACCCUACCCCUCGCCGCGCGGUUGCCUCGGCGGGAGGGUCGGACGGGGCCCCCAGCGGACCCCCCCGGCCCCCCGCCGGCCGCGCCCAACUCUUCUUCUGCAAAGCGGACUGCAUGUUCUGAUUAUAUCUUGAAAACAAGUCAAAACUUUCAACAACGGAUCUCUAGAU
rnacentral:misc_RNA from 1 species